GCCAGAGUGGUCUAGUGGUUUGAGCAUUAGGCUAUGAUGCUGGAGAUCAGGGUUGGAAUUCCUGCUCAGCCA